rnacentral:rRNA from 1 species
CCCUUAGAUGUCCUGGGCUGCACGCGCACUACACUGACACGUUCAACGAGUUUUGCCUGCUCCGAUGGGACUGGGUAAUCUUAUGAAAGCGUGUCGUGAUGGGGAUAGAUUAUUGCAAUUAUUAAUCUUCAACGAGGAAUUCCUAGUAAGUACAAGUCAUCAGCUUGUGCUGAUUACGUCCCUGCCCUUUGUACACACCGCCCGUCGCUCCUACCGAUUGGGUGAUCCGGUGAAUAACUCGGACUGCAGCUAUUCGGGAGACCGUUAGCUUGUGGAAAGUUUAGUAAAUCUUAUCACUUAGAGGAAGGAGAAGUCGUAACA